rnacentral:lncRNA from 1 species
CACAUCCCCAGGCUAGCUCUACCUUGCUGGUGUUCCAAUUCUGAGAGCACACUAACUCCCACACCCUGCCAUGCAUCCUCCCUUCCCUGUCCACCAUGCAAACUACUUUAUAGCCCCGCCACACAAAGCAUCAGGUAAUGAGAGGCCCUCAGAUCCCAGAGGACACCACAAGAAGAGAAGUCAGCAAAGUGCUGAAGACUCUGUCUCCAGCAACCAUAGGAAUGAACAGGACAGAAGAAUGAAGCUUCCACCCAGACCCAAACGUGUUUGACUCACUGCUAUAAGCAAUUCCCAGACCCAGCUUGUGCAAAAGAGGGAGCUAG